UACGUAGGGUGCAAGCGUUGUCCGGAUUUAUUGGGCGUAAAGAGCUCGUAGGCGGCUCGGUAAGUCGGAUGUGAAACCUCCAGGCUCAACCUGGAGACGCCAUCUGAUACUGCCGUGGCUUGAGUCCGGUAGAGGAGCAGGGAAUUCCUGGUGUAGCGGUGAAAUGCGCAGAUAUCAGGAGGAACACCAGCGGCGAAGGCAGCUCGCUGGGACGGUACUGACGCUGAGACGCGAAAGCGUGGGGAGCAAACAGG
rnacentral:rRNA from 1 species